CAAUCCGGCCCAAGCCUCCCUCUGCCACCAGCAUCCCAGCCAUUCUGAAAGCCUUGCAGGAUGAGUGGGAUGCAGUCAUGCUGCACAGCUUCACUCUUCGCCAGCAGCUGCAGACAACCCGCCAGGAACUGUCCCACGCUCUGUACCAGCACGAUGCUGCCUGCCGAGUCAUUGCCCGGCUCACCAAGGAGGGCUCUUGCAGGUUUUUGUAAGCAGUGAUCUAGUUUCAUUAAAAAAAAAAAGCCACAC
rnacentral:lncRNA from 1 species